ACUUGGUGGCUUAGAAUGCUGUGGGAGUUUGUUGGAUGAAUAUACGAAGUUGUACCCAUUCUGCUUAGAAUUAGUUCUUAUAUCAGCAAGGUUACAGAUGAAUGACUUCGAGAAUUUUGAGGGUUUUGAGGAAGCCAUUAGGAGCUGGCCAAAGGAAACGCCUGGAAUUCAUUGCAUCUGGAAUCAAUAUAUUGAAUGUGCCCUCCGAAAGGGAGAUGUUGGAUUUGUGAAAGAGCUUAUUGGCUUCAACUCCUCUUCAGAAGUUCAAUAUCAUCAACAAGAAAAGCUGGAUGUUACACAUACAAAUAGCUCAGAUCAGUUAUCAAGAUUAGCCUCAGCAUCCAAUCCAGAGUUUUUGACAUCCAAUUCUAACUGGAUGGAUAUGACAUUUGGAUAUCUUAAUUACUCUCUUGCUAAAUUGUUGCAUAAUGAUCAUAUUGAGGCCCGCAAUGCCAUUGAUAAAGCAUUCAAGGCUGCAGCUCCACCAAUCUUCAAGCAUUGCUUGAGAGAACAUGCCAACUUCUUGCUUAACUAUGAGUUACAGCUAAAGGAGGAUGCUUUUAUUAGUGAGCAACUGAAUGUAUUGAAUGGUUAUUUGGAUGAUGCCCGGGCUCUUCCUGUGUCUGAGCCGUUAUCAAGACGAUUCAUAAAUAAAAUUGAGAAGCCAAGAGUUCGGCAGNNNNNNNNNNNNUUGAGUCCAGUUUCAUGUGAUUUUUCUUUAGUUAACAUAGUUCUUGAAGUUUGGCAUGGGCCCUCUCUUGUACCCCAAAAAUUUAGCCAGCCACAGGAACUGGUUGAUUUUGUGGAAGCCAUCUUGGAGAUUGUGCCAUCUAACUAUCAAUUAGCAUUUUCUGCUUGUAAGCUGUUGAGCAGAGGUGAGCAUUUUAGUGAAGUAUCUUCUGGCAGUAUGUUGUAUUGGGCAAGCUCAACCUUGGUCAGUGCAAUCUUUCAUGCUAUCCCAAUAGCACCAGAGUAUGUAUGGGUUAAUGCUGCAGGUAUUUUGGAAGGAAUUGAGGGUACUGAGUUAAUUUCUGAGAGAUUUUACAGGAGAGCUUUAUCCGCUUAUCCAUUUUCCAUUAAGCUGUGGAAUUGCUAUUAUAACUUAUCCAAGAUUAGAGGAGAUGCUAAUUCCAUCGUAGAAGCUGCAAGAGAAAAAGGCAUUGAACUUGGUUGAUAUUUUCUGGAAGAUAAGAGUCAAUUUGGUAGAAUCACCUUUUGCCCAAAAUAUAGGGAAGGCCUCAAUCUGAAUGGAUGAUGCAUUGGAUUUGUUAAAUCCUUGGCAAGUUAGAUAUUGAGCACACAAUUGAACAUUAAGAUUUUUUGAGAUUGAAACUAGGUGCCACAGAAAUUCACAGGAUAGGAACAUGAUGGAUCAGGUUUCAGCUUUUUUUAGGUGAAGGGGGUUCCUUAAGGUGAGAUUUUGCCCCUCCUGUACAGCCUCAUCAUUUCUUGACUCUAUUUCUUACAAUACUAGUUACUUGUAAUUACUGGAAUUUUUUAGUAAAUGUUAAUUGUUUUAAUUAAAUGAAUACAAGUUACAUCAAGUUUCUGUUCUCUUCAAAAAAAA
rnacentral:misc_RNA from 1 species